UCAGAUUCUUGGAACCAUCUGUGCUAAAGGUAUAUAAAUGUAUUAUUUGUUUUUUCCUUUGUUUUCAUUUCAUGGAUGUUUGCCAAAGAAACGAUUAGCCUGAAAGAGAGGAAGGCAUUUCUGGGAUUAUACUUGGGAAACAAGACGAUAUUGACAGAGUUGAUAGUUCCGACUGUGAUGACAAUGAUGUUGGGGAUAAGGAGUUGGCAAAGCCCCUUGAACAAUCACACGUGUACCUCUCUAAUGCUGAGGUUCAGAUCAAUUCCGGAAGGAUUCCAAUCUGGCAAAAGUCUAAGAUAUAUUUCUAUACAAUGAGUCCGUCUGCUGCUGGUGAGCUAAAUUUUGGUAAAGAUCUUACCGGUGGAGAGAUGGAAAUAGAGACGGUUCCUGUUCACAAGGUUGAAAUGAGGCGGAAUGAUUUGCUACCUAUUGUUCAUCCUUUUCGUAGGUUUCUGUCUCAUUGGAAUGGCAGGCAUCUAAUUGGAGGAGGAUGCUCGAGUUCAUCUUCUGAUUCUCACGAAGAUAAAGAAAAGUUUCAGGAAAAAUAUUGGUAAUUUCUGGUGAGAAUUUUACACCUAUAGGCUCAGCUAAAAACCCAAUGCUGGUGAUUAUCCAUUUAUUCUCCAACCUGGAGAUGGUCAGAAAGGCGAAAAAAGAGGGAAAAAUGUGCUUUGUUGCUGGAAAAACCACUGAACCGGUAGAACUUUCCUCGGUUCUUCAACUCAAUUCGAAUAAUUUGAAUAAUUUUUUUACUCAAAAAAGCUAAUGUUUCCUGGUGAGUUUUAUAGCCUUCUCAGUGUGGGUGUUUCAAUUUCGAUUUUGCGAUUUUGGAUUUGCAAAUUUGUUUUCUGUUCAAAUUUCCUUUUGUGAUUUUAGGGGGUUUUUGUUUAUCGGUUCUCUCACUCAUCUCUCAUCUCUCUCUCUCUCUCUCUCUCUCUCUCUCUCUCUCACUUUUCUACUAGAUGUCAAUGUUUUCAAAAGUGGCCAAAAGAUUUUUCUGAUAGGACAAGGAUUGUCUGCCCUCCCACUUCCAAUGCCCUCCUGUUUGUGUAGUCACGGUUAAGUCACGUCAACAUUUUAUAUUACUAUUCAUUUUUGUCUUAUUAUCUCUAUAAAAAAAAUAAUAUAAAAUGUUGACAUGGCUUAAUCGUGACCAUACAAAACAGAAGAGUACGGAAGGGCAUCAGAAGUGGGAGGGCAGACAAUCCUUGUCCUUUCUGAUAGAUGUCAAUGUUUUCAAAAGUGGCAGAAAGCAGUAUGACAGAAAGCAGAGUGUGAUAGCCUUCUUCCUAGCAGAAGGCUCUGUGUGUGGGAGGAGAAUUCUCUCCCCUCCUAAUCUUUCUUCCCUUUUCUCCUCAUCUAUUUAAACAGUCACAGUUAAACCAUGUUAAUAUCUUAUAUUGAUUUUUUUAUAAAUAUAAUAAGACAAAAAAUAAUAUGUGAAAGGAGGGGAGGAAAGAGGCUGAGAAUAGGAGAGGAGAGAAUCCUACUCUCCUAAUUUCUCUUCCCUUCCCUUCCCUUCCCUUCCCUUCUAUUUAAACGAUUAAGUCACGUUAAUAUCUUAUAUUAAUUUUUUAUAUAAAAAUAAUAAAACAAAAAGCAAUAUAUGAAAGGAGAGGAGGAAAAAGAACGGAAAUAGGAGAUGAGAGAAUCGUACUUUUGAGCAUACAAAAGUCUUAAAGUUGGUGUGAUAUUGUCAAAAGUUGAAGACUUUUGUUCACCUUUCUUUUUCUGCUUUUGCAUGUAUUAGUCUUUGUGGUUUACAGUGCAUUCAUCCUUUUUCAAUUAUUGUUGCCUAUUCAAUUAAUUUGAUUCAUAAACAUUAGUGUACAUUUAUAUUGGCUUAUUUGUUAUCUGCAUUUGUUAUUAGAAAUGCAAAUAUGUGGUGUGAAAGGCAAAAUUACCACGUUGCAAGUUGAUGCACUUUUUUAGUGAUUGCUAAUUUUAAUAAAAAAAAAUGUUUAUUAUGCCAUGCAUCAUAUAUUCAUAUGUUGGCCAUUAAUCAUAUAUUCAUGUGUGGCAGUGCCAUUAUAUGAAAUUUUAGGAAAAAAUAAAAUUGUCCAUUCUACAUAUAUUUGACCUUCAUUCUACCAAUAGAGUUAUCAUUUCAUCUCUACGUUUACAUCCUAUACAAUAUGAAUUUGUUGAUAUCUAAUUUCAUUGCACCUUUUAUUUUAUUUUCCUUUUGACUAGGCUGCUUUCUUGGCAAUCAAGAAUACAAGGAAACUUUGGAUAUUCCAGUGAACAAUCUUUUAUCAUAUAAAUCAAACAAUACUCCCUAAUACUUCUUUCCAUGUAAUUCACAAUCUUUUAUAUGUAAUUACUACUAUUGAUCAAAAGCCACAGAAACUAAGUAAAUAAACUCACAUCUAAUCUUUCUAAAAAAAAAAUAAAAAAAAAAAAUCUAUGAUCUUUUGUAUGUGGUCCAUAUCAAUCAAAACUUUUCCAUGUAAAAAUCUUCUUAAUGUUGUCAAUAUAAAUAAUAUUAAUCUUUUAUAUUUUUUAGACAUAACCUUUCAUAUAAUUUGUAAUCUCAUAGCAACGCGCGAGUACGAAUUUCUAGUACUAUACUGUGGAAGGAUGAACAUUUCAUGCUCUCUUUUCUUUUUUGGGAACUUGGUUAAUUAAAAAAAAAACAUUUUUUUCUGAAACAAAUAACAUUUUCUGAUACGGUGAAUGAAGUUGAAAGUGCACCAUAAAACUAAUUGCAAUAUGGAGGAGGGUAACUCAACAUUAGCAUCAUUGCCCCAAUUAUUUCUGCCCAUUUAAACAAGUUGCAAUAACUACAACGGUGAUGCAAGUGAAUUUGUCAAGUUAUGGUUGUGCAUAUAAAUAUUUAGCGUACGCGAUAUAUGUACUUUGCAGUACCGCAUGCAUUACAUUAGCAUAUAGCGAUGGUGGGAAGAUGCCUCAAAGUUUUAUAUGCAUUCACGCUCCUUGGACUUGUCCCCCAUGUCAUCGUUCCUUCCUUGUCCCUUGGAUUCGAUAAUUUUGGAGUUGGCUAUGUAGAUGCUGAGGUGACGAUGAGAAGGAAAGCGAAGCACUCCUAGCAUACAAACAAGGCUUCACCAUGGAUGAGAACAACCGAGUAACGUUUUCUUCGUGGGGAACAGAUGGUGCAAAACAAGAUUGCUGCAGAUGGAAAGGAGUCGCCUGUGACAACCGAACAGGCCAUGUUCUGAAACUUGAUUUUGGCGAGGAAUUCCAAUUGAAAGUAAAUCAAUUUCAACCAUUGAGAGGUAAAAUUAGCUCUCAAUUGAUUGAGUUGCAGCAUUUGGAAUACUUAGACCUCAGCUGGAAUGACUUGAAUCGGAGCCAAAUUCCAGAGUUCAUUGGUUCUCUCAGCAACUUAAGGAUCAAUUUCUCCCUUAUGUGCAGUCACUGCAAGGAAUCUAAACUUUCUUGGUCUCUCAAGAAACCAUUUAUCUGGAGAACUUCCAGAUUCCUGGGCUCAUUUUGAUGCUCUAGUCGUUCUUGAUUUGAGUAAUAAUGUUUUUUCUGGAGAAAUUCCAACCACAAUGGGAUCACUUUUUGGCAUUGAAACAAAGAAACUCAACAACAAUGUAUUCGUGGGAGAAUUGCCUUCCUCCUUGAAGAAUUGCAGAGCUAAGAGUUCUUGAUGUGGGAGAAAUUCAAGCUCAACCAUCUCUGGCUCAUCUACAGGCAUGACUGUAGAAUAUACUGCGAAUGAUGGAUCCUCAAUUUUGAAAGGAAAACUUUAUGAGGAUGAAGCAUCCUUAAUAUGGAAAGGGAAACUCUCCGUAUACAAAACUACUUUGGGACUUCUAAUGAGUGAUGAUCUUUCAAGCAAUCGACUAACCGGGGAGAUUUCUUUAAAUCUGUCGAGAAACCGAUUAACAAGUCAAAUAACUCCAGAGAUUGGAAGGUUGCAAUCGUUAGAUUCUCUUGAUCUAUCAAGGAACCAAAUAUAUGGUAAAAUUCCAACAAGUGUAUUUCAGAUACAUGGUCUUGGUGUGUUGGACUUGUCAAACAACAACUUGUCUGGCAAAAUUCCUAUGGGUUCUCUACUCCAAACCCUUGAGCCUUCUGCUUAUGCAGGAAAUCCUCAACUUCGUGGACUUCCACUUCAAAAGAUGUGCCCUGAAGAUGAAAAAAGUCAGAAGCAAACUGUCUUUGUGAAUAAAGAAGAUGAGGAUGGACUUAUAACGCAAGGAUUUUACAUCAGUAUGGCGAUCGGGUUUGUUGUUGGAUUUUGGUGCAUUUGUGGCACAUUGAUGUUCAACAGGUCAUGGAGAUAUGCAUACUUCAAGUUCUUAAAUGUUGUAAACGAUUGGGUUUACGUAAGGGUGGAGUUGAUCAAAUGACAGAGAAUGCCUUGACAUAGGCAGGAUCAUGCAUAUAUUUGUGACACUCUUGCAUCUGCCAUCCAGUUGGAGACGGAGAUUGGUGACUGCACGUUUAAAGUCAUUAUGGACAACUACUAGUGUAAAAUGCCUCCGUAAUAAGAGAGCAUUGCUCGAAAGUUCGAAACAAAUAAUUUGUUCUUGAUUUUGUGGCCUUGUAUGUGCUGUGUUGUUAUCUAGCUUGUCUUCGAGGGCUGGGUAAGGACCUAGUUGAAUAUUAGGGUGCACAACGAAUAAAAUUACAAAAUAAUAAGAGUAUUAUUAAACAAA